AUGAACGCUGGCGGCGUGCCUCAUACAUGCAAGUCGAGCGAACAGACGAGGAGCUUGCUCCUCUGACGUUAGCGGCGGACGGGUGAGUAACACGUGGAUAACCUACCUAUAAGACUGGGAUAACUUCGGGAAACCGGAGCUAAUACCGGAUAACAUGUUGAACCGCAUGGUUCAACAGUGAAAGACGGUCUUGCUGUCACUUAUAGAUGGAUCCGCGCCGCAUUAGCUAGUUGGUAAGGUAACGGCUUACCAAGGCAACGAUGCGUAGCCGACCUGAGAGGGUGAUCGGCCACACUGGAACUGAGACACGGUCCAGACUCCUACGGGAGGCAGCAGUAGGGAAUCUUCCGCCAUGGGCGAAAUCCUGACGGAGCAACGCCGCGUGAGUGAAGAAGGUCUUCGGAUCGUAAAACUCUGUUAUUAGGGAAGAACAAAUGUGUAAGUAACUAUGCACGUCUUGACGGUACCUAAUCAGAAAGCCACGGCUAACUACGUG
rnacentral:rRNA from 1 species